UACAGAGGUCUCAAGCGUUGUUCGGAUUCAUUGGGCGUAAAGGGUGCGUAGGUGGCAUGGUAAGUCGGAUGUGAAAGCCCAGGGCUCAACCCUGGAAGUGCAUUCGAUACUGGCAGGCUUGAAUAUGGAAGAGGGUCGCGGAAUUCCCGGUGUAGAGGUGAAAUUCGUAGAUAUCGGGAGGAACACCAGUGGCGAAGGCGGCGACCUGGGCCAAUAUUGACGCUGAGGUGCGAAAGCGUGGGGAGCAAACAGG
rnacentral:rRNA from 1 species